rnacentral:rRNA from 1 species
GAUGAACGCUGGCGGCGUGCCUAAUACAUGCAAGUCGAGCGAACAGACAAGGAGCUUGCUCCUUUGACGUUAGCGGCGGACGGGUGAGUAACACGUGGGUAACCUACCUAUAAGACUGGAAUAACUCCGGGAAACCGGGGCUAAUGCCGGAUAACAUUUAGAACCGCAUGGUUCUAUAGUGAAAGACGGUUUUGCUAUCACUUAUAGAUGGAUCCGCGCCGUAUUAGCUAGUUGGUAAGGUAACGGCUUACCAAGGCAACGAUACGUAGCCGACCUGAGAGGGUGAUCGGCCACACUGGAACUGAGACACGGUCCAGACUCCUACGGGAGGCAGCAGUAGGGAAUCGUCCGCAAUGGGCGAAAGCCUGACGGAGCAACGCCGCGUGAGUGAUGAAGGUCUUCGGAUCGUAAAACUCUGUUAUGAGGGAAGAACAAAUGUGUAAGUAACUGUGCACGUCUUGACGGUACCUAAUCAGAAAGCCACGGCUAACUACGUG